UACGUAGGUGACAAGCGUUGUCCGGAUUUACUGGGCGUAAAGAGCGCGCAGGCGGUCGUUCAAGUCGAGUGUGAAAGCCCCCGGCUCAACUGGGGAGGGUCAUUCGAUACUGAUCGACUCGAAGGCAGGAGAGGGUAGUGGAAUUCCCGGUGUAGUGGUGAAAUGCGUAGAUAUCGGGAGGAACACCAGUGGCGAAGGCGACUACCUGGCCUGUUCUUGACACUGAGGCGCGAAAGCUAGGGGAGCAAACGGG
rnacentral:rRNA from 1 species